rnacentral:rRNA from 1 species
UAGGGAAUCUUCGGCAAUGGACGAAAGUCUGACCGAGCAACGCCGCGUGAGUGAAGAAGGUUUUCGGAUCGUAAAACUCUGUUGUUAGAGAAGAACAAGGACGUUAGUAACUGAACGUCCCCUGACGGUAUCUAACCAGAAAGCCACGGCUAACUACGUGCCAGCAGCCGCGGUAAUACGUAGGUGGCAAGCGUUGUCCGGAUUUAUUGGGCGUAAAGCGAGCGCAGGCGGUUUCUUAAGUCUGAUGUGAAAGCCCCCGGCUCAACCGGGGAGGGUCAUUGGAAACUGGGAGACUUGAGUGCAGAGGAGGAGAGUGGAAUUCCGUGGGUAGCGGUGAAAUGCGUAGAUAUAUGGAGGAACACCAGUGGCGAAGGCGGCUCUCUGGUCUGUAACUGACGCUGAGGAUCGAAAGCGUGGGGAGCAAACAGG